AGGCCUUUAGGACCCAGAAAUCUUGAUGAUCUCCAAGCUGCCGGCUGCCUCUCACCCUUCACUGCAGUGGCUCUGUGCAUCAUCUCCAGUGGAGGAGCAUCAGCUGAGAGGUCCCCAGUACUCUGGCAAGCUGCACAGGGAAAGGUAUCUGGAGUGUCUCAGUCGAUGGGAGAAACGCACAGAGCCAAGUCCAGUCUCCUGACUGAAACCUCAAGGAGCUGGAGCGGAACCGGAGCUGGGCACCCGAGCUCUGGCCACCAGGGACUCCAGGAUCCAUUUUAAUGGAGGGGCGAGGACCUGAGCUGGGCGGAGGCAGCCCUUCAGAGGGUCACGCUGGAAGCCAGUUCAGCAGCACCAGGGCGAAGGAAUGAGCAGGGCCAGGCUGGAUUUCGCUCUGCUCGCCUAGCCUGGCUCUCUUCCCUUCCGCCCCUGGCCGGGGCCUGCUGGCAGGAUGCUGGGGCUCGCUGCGCAGGUGGAAAGCACAGGGUGCCCUCCUCCCCAGGUGCUGCUUUCAGCAGAUCCAUUAACCACUACUUCACCUGUUGGGGAGUUUUCCAUCAGAGCAAUUCCGUGUUUAGGAAUCAAAUUUAGGGCCAGAUCUUCAGCCUUAGUUCCAUUGGAGUCUAUGGAGCAAAGCCAAUGAUCACCAGCUGAGGAUCUGGUAUGUCUGAGCUCUCCCACACCAUUAGAUUCAGGAUACAUAGCUCUGCUGAAGCUGCCAUCUGAGCACCCAGAACUAGAUCUGUGUGGAGAAUGGGAAUUCUGUGCUGCAAAGGAUUUUGAGAUUUCAAAAUCUGGCUUCAUUCUGAAUCCGAGUGAAAACUGAACAUUUUGAAAUUCUCCACUCAGGAAAAUUCUGA
rnacentral:lncRNA from 1 species